AUGUUAGAAUAAGUUAUUUUCGUAUAAAAGAAUGACUGAAGUUCUUGGUCCAGAUAUAUAUAGAGUUCAGUGGGAUAACCUAAUGCAUUCCCAUAUGCCCGUUCGCAGGUUAGGUGAUGGGCAUACCUAACCUGCGAGCGGGCAUACUCUGGGUACGAGAUUGGGGACGAGUCAGAUGUAACGGUGCUUUUAAGUUUUAACCUUUUAACUAAUUAAUGCCGGGGACUUUCCUUUGCGAGUAAAAUACAGUAGAUAAAAUAGUCAAAGCAGGGCACAUCAGGGCAUAUUGCGGCUAAAGGGUAAUAAUGAAAGUGUAAUAAUUAUUGAAAGAUUUUCGACUAUUAAAAUGUUAAUUCUAAUAAUGAACGAAAAUAACAGAUAUCACUGUAUAACAUCCAAUGCAAAUUGAGCAUUGUUCAUUAUUACAACUAUAAUAAAU